UUACCUACCCUUGACAUGGUCGGAAUCCUGAAGAGAUUCGGGAGUGCUCGAAAGAGAACCGGCGCACAGGUGCUGCAUGGCUGUCGUCAGCUCGUGUCGUGAGAUGUUGGGUUAAGUCCCGCAACGAGCGCAACCCUUGUCCUUAGUUGCUACGCAAGAGCACUCUAAGGAGACUGCCGGUGACAAACCGGAGGAAGGUGGGGAUGACGUCAAGUCCUCAUGGCCCUUAUGGGUAGGGCUUCACACGUCAUACAAUGGUCGGAACAGAGGGUUGCCAACCCGCGAGGGGGAGCUAAUCCCAGAAAACCGAUCGUAGUCCGGAUUGCACUCUGCAACUCGAGUGCAUGAAGCUGGAAUCGCUAGUAAUCGCGGAUCAGCAUG
rnacentral:rRNA from 1 species